rnacentral:rRNA from 1 species
UACUCGCGGUCCAAGUCGCAGCCAUUUUUAUUGGGUCUAAAACAUCCGUAGCUUGCUUGAUAAGUUCUUUGUGAAAUUUUAUCUCUUAAAGAUGAAACGUGCAAGGAGUACUGUCAAGCUAGAGACUGGAAGACGUAGGAAGUAUGUUCAAAGUAGCGGUAAAAUGUGUUAAUCUUGAACAGACUCACAAUAGCGAAGGCAUCCUACGAGGACAGUUCUGACAGUAAGGGAUGAAGGCUAGGGGCGCAAAACGGAUUAGAUACCCGUGUAGUCCUAGCAGUAAACACUGCACACUAAACAUCAGUACCUCCUCGAGAGGUAUUGGUGCUGUAGGGAAGCCGAAGAGUGUGCUACCUGGGAAGUAUAGUCGCAAGGCCGAAACUUAAAGGAAUUGGCGGGGAGACACUACAACGGGUGACGCGUGCGGUUCAAUCAGAUUAUACACCGUGAACCUCACCAGGAGCGACAGCAGGAUGAAGGUCAGUCUAAAGGGCUUACCUGACACGCUGAGAGGAAUUACAAAGCCGACGUCAGCCUGUGCUGUGAAGUGACCUGUUAAAUCAGGUAACAGGCAAGACCCACAUACAUAUUUACUAAGUGUACUAUAUGUAGAUUGCCUUGGUAACGAGGAUGAAAGUGUGGGCUACGUUAGGUGGCUCAGUCCGAAUCCCCUGGGCAACACGCGCGCGUCAAUGGUGAAUACAAUGGGAUGCGACCCUGAAAAGAGAAGCUAAUCUCUUAAAGUUCAUCUCAGUCCAGAUUGAGGUUUGUAACUCAGCCUCAUGACGCUGGAAUCCGUAGUAAUCGGGUGUUAUCAGCGCCCGGUGAAUACGUCACUGUCUCU